rnacentral:rRNA from 1 species
UACGUAGGUGGCAAGCGUUGUCCGGAUUUACUGGGCGUAAAGAGCGCGCAGGCGGUCGUUCAAGUCGCGUGUGAAAGCCCCCGGCUCAACUGGGGAGGGUCACGCGAUACUGAUCGACUCGAAGACAGGAGAGGGUAGUGGAAUUCCCGGUGUAGUGGUGAAAUGCGUAGAUAUCGGGAGGAACACCAGUGGCGAAGGCGACUACCUGGCCUGUUCUUGACGCUGAGGCGCGAAAGCUAGGGGAGCAAACGGGG